rnacentral:rRNA from 1 species
UACGUAGGGUGCGAGCGUUGUCCGGAAUUACUGGGCGUAAAGAGCUCGUAGGUGGUUUGUCGCGUUGUUCGUGAAAUCUCACGGCUUAACUGUGAGCGUGCGGGCGAUACGGGCAGACUGGAGUACUGCAGGGGAGACUGGAAUUCCUGGUGUAGCGGUGGAAUGCGCAGAUAUCAGGAGGAACACCGGUGGCGAAGGCGGCUCACUGGCUCAUUACUGACGCUCAGGCGCGAUAGCGUGGGGAUCAAACAGG